UUCAUUUGCAGAAAUAAUUUAAUUAAUAAAGCGUAGAAUACUCACAAACUCAUUUUGCUUCAUGAAUCAUCAUAUGACAACCUCAUAUCAAUGCAAAAUGCAAUUGGAUGACAUGAGGAAGAAGAAGAAUAAUAUGGACUUAUGGAAACAUAAGAAAACAUAAAGACUCCAAAUUUCAUAUGAAAAUGGAUACAAACAUUAUUAUAGUUGAUUAUCAGAAACUCAAGAGUACUAGCUAGACAACUUUUUGAAGUUUUCGUGGAUGAAUUUGCUUCAAUGGUGCUAGUUUUGCCGGUGCUGGUGCCAUUGUUGAAUGUAGAAUCGUUGAUUUGGGAGCAUCAGAUAUCUCAAUGGUUUUAGGAUCAGCUGCAUUGAAAUUUAUACAUUAAGUUUUUUUGUUUCAAUAAAUUAAGCUAG
rnacentral:lncRNA from 1 species